CCUCUCUAAAGGGAAAUUGAAAAUUAUUUUCCUUUUCUUUUUCUCCUUUUCCAAACAGCCUUCGAAUCUUACGAAAUAUCUAAAACGAAAGCCUCCUCCGCAUUCAACCCUCCUAACAAUCUCCGUGAUGCAAAACCUAAUUCCCUAAUUCGGAUCAUAAUAUAUCGGUGUUCAUGAUUGACCUGGGAAAGCCCUAGCUCAGUUCAACCAAUUCGAUGGGCGAAGAAGUGAGGAUGAGUGAUAUUAACGGAGGUGAUGGCGGCGAUGACGAGCGAGUGCUCGAGUGGGAGGCGGGGCUGCCCGCUGCCGAUGAUCUGACUCCCCUAUCUCAGCCGUUGAUCCCUCCGGAGCUGGCGUCGGCGUUCAGCAUAACGCCGGAGCCGUGCCGUACGCUGCUGGAGGUGAAUCGUGCGUCGCAGAGUACGUUUUCGACCAUUCGAGGGCAGUCUCAUUCGUUCUCGUCGAACAAUUUCAAGUCUUUCAACGAGGAGCGAAACCGCGAGCCAGCGGUGGUGGAGCCGGAGGAGACCGGGGAUAGGGACGGGUCCGGGUCUGAGUCAAGGAAGGUGAGGAAAGUCGAUUGCGCCGAGGAGGCCGAUUCAGCGAUGAGGACGGAGAAUUCGAACGAUGAUCCCUCUGCUCGGACGCUGAAACGACCCCGUUUGGUUUGGACUCCGCAGCUCCACAAGCGAUUCGUGGAUGUGGUGGGGCAUCUGGGCAUCAAGAACGCGGUUCCGAAGACUAUUAUGCAACUGAUGAACGUAGAGGGCUUGACUCGGGAGAACGUCGCCAGUCAUCUACAGAAGUAUCGACUUUACCUGAAACGGAUGCAGGGGCUGUCUAACGAGGGUCCAUCUUCGUCCGACCAUCUUUUCGCGUCCACGCCGGUGCCGCAGAGCUUGCACGAGUCUGGCGGAAAAGUGCAUGGGAACGGUCAUGGAAAUGGUCACAUGUCUGUUCCAAUUCCCAUGCCUUAUGGGCAGACGAUGAUGCACAUGCCCGUUCUUGGAGUGUCACAUGGCCAUGGCCAUAUGGGAAUGUCAGGUCCAGGUGGAUAUCAUGGCUACGAGUCUCAUCAUCCUUAUAAUAUGUUGCAGCAGAGAGAUUGGUCAGUUGUGUCGUACCCAAAUGUCGGUCCUAAUGAUCAAUAAGAUGAUACCCGAGCAAUAAAGCAAAAGUAAGUUAGCAGGCUUUGCCUGCUGGAUAUUCAAUGCCUUUAUAAAGAUUCUUAUUCUGUUUCAGAAGAUUUGAAGUCAAUUGAUCGUCUGAUUUUUGGAUCUCCAAGAAUAAAAAAUAUUAGCUCUCCUUUAACAAUUACUGCAGGAGCCACAUCCGAGCUGUUGAUGUGUAGCUCUGUGUGUGUUCAGACAAUUUUAUCAUUGAAGACUGAUUGCUCACUUAUUGUAACCGUGGCGAUGAUUUUGAGGUGGUUUUUAUGUGUUGUCUCUGUAAUAUUCUUAUUUCUUUCAAUGCUCUUCUGAAGAGCUAAAAUGGAAAAUGGGUUGGGUUAUCUU